AAUCAACUUUAGACAGGUCUUGUAGCUUGACUUCUAUAAGCCAUCACAAGGGUUAUUCACAUCCUCAAAUAGCCAAGCAACCAACAAGUGAAAUACAAUUUAGCCAACCACACCUUUGGGAGACUCUAAUAAUAUGCAAAAUGAGGGAAUCAAACAGCACUCCCAUCCAGUUCACAAACUCAUUCUUCCAAAUCGUCCUCUCAAAUCUCAAAGAUAAUUGACGAACAUAUAUUGAACAACUACGCAGACAAUUGGGCACACAUAAAAGU
rnacentral:misc_RNA from 1 species